rnacentral:rRNA from 1 species
CGUGCCUAAUACAUGCAAGUCGAACGGUCUUUCUAUGGAAGCUUGCUUCCACUGAGAAGAUAGUGGCGAACGGGUGAGUAACACGUGGGUAACCUGCCCAUAAGAGGGGGGAUAACAUCCGGAAACGGGUGCUAAUACCGCAUAGUUUUCUUGAUUGCAUGAUUGAGAAAGGAAAGACGGCCUUUGUGCUGUCGCUUAUGGAUGGACCCGCGGCGUAUUAGUUAGUUGGUGAGGUAACGGCUCACCAAGACGAUGAUACGUAGCCGACCUGAGAGGGUGAUCGGCCACAUUGGGACUGAGACACGGCCCAAACUCCUACGGGAGGCAGCAGUAGGGAAUCUUCCGCAAUGGACGAAAGUCUGACGGAGCAACGCCGCGUGAGUGAAAGAAGGUUUUCGGAUCGUAAAACUCUGUUGUCAGAGAAGAACAAGUUGGAGAGUAACUGCUCCAGCCUUGACGGUAUCUGACCAGAAAGCCACGGCUAACUACGUGCCAGCCGCCGC